UCAGAGAUUUAAAUGAAAUAUUAGUUAACAAUCUGAAGGAAAAUGGAGCAAGCCGGACAAGAAGAAAGCGAGAGGAGAACUGCUGCAUGUUGCUGCUGUCUGGAAUGCUGCUCCGAUGCCUGCUGCUUAAUAGUUUGCUGUGCAAAUUUUUACGAAAUAAUAAUAUCAUGUUUGGAGUGCAUAUCAUUUUGUAGUAAUCAAAACUGAUGUGACAUAAACUACAAUACAUAUGUUAUUAACUUUCACUGAAUGUUGUCAAAAAUGUAUAAAUAAAUAUAGGAAUGAGAAGAUCCAUA